AUUGAACGCUGGCGGUAUGCUUAACACAUGCAAGUCGAACGCGAAAGGACUUCGGUCCAAGUAGAGUGGCGGACGGGUGAGUAAUGCAUCGGAAUCUACCCUGACGUGGGGGAUAACCAAGCGAAAGUUUGGCUAAUACCGCAUAACGUCUGAGGACCAAAGCGGGGGACUCCUUCGGGAACCUCGCGCGAUGGGAUGAGCCGAUGUUCGAUUAGCUUGUUGGUAGGGUAAUGGCCUACCAAGGCGACGAUCGAUAGCUGGUCUGAGAGGAUGAUCAGCCACACUGGGACUGAGACACGGCCCAG
rnacentral:rRNA from 1 species